GCGUGCACCCCACCGGAUUCCUGGAGCCUCACGUGGCUGGAGGCAGCGGAGUUUUCUGCACAGAAGGUUUCACUUCCAGUUCGUGCUCAACUUUCAAAGCCACUCCGUGCGUGGUUCCGUUUAACAGGUUUUGUCGUGACUCGCUGGAAGUACAGGAACGGAGAAAGAGAGAGAAAUAUCAAUGUGCAAGAGAAACAUCCAUCAGUUGCAUCUCAGACAACCCCAUCUGGGAACCUGGCCUGUAACCCAGGCACGUGCCCUGACCAGGAAUCAAACCAGCGAUGCUUUGGUUCACAGGCUGGUGGUCCUCACCCCACUGAGCUACGUCGGCCAGGGAUCAUUUCCUUUUUUUCAAAAUGUAUGUUUACAUAGUCAGUCUUGCUGUAUUGGAUGUGUGUGUGUGUGCACACAUAUCUAUGUAAAUUUUGUUCUGUUUUGGUACUUAACAUAAUAAUAAC